CCGGAAUAGCUCAGUUGGUAGAGCAGAGGACUGAAAAUCCUCGUGUCAC
rnacentral:tRNA from 21 species